CCUACGGGUGGCUGCAGUGAGGAAUAUUGGUCAAUGAGCGAUAGCUUGAACCAGCCAUGUCGCGUGAAGGAUGACAAUCUUAUGGAUUGUAAACUUCUUUUGUUAGGGAAUAAAGUGAGUUACGAGUAACUCAUUGCCAGUACCUUACGAAUAAGGAUCGGCUAACUCCGUGCCAGCAGCCGCGGUAAUACGGAGGAUCCGAGCGUUAUCCGGAUUUAUUGGGUUUAAAGGGUGCGUAGGUGGAUUGGUCAGUCAGUGGUGAAAGUUUACAGCUUAACUGUAACAUUGCCAUUGAAACUUCCGAUCUUGAGUGCAAAUAAAGUAGGCGGAAUGUGUUGUGUAGCGGUGAAAUGCAUAGAUAUGACACAGAACUCCGAUUGCGUAAGCAGCUUACUGGGAUGCAACUGACACUGAUGCACGAAAGCGUGGGUAUCAAACAGGCUUAGAUACCCGAGUAGUC
rnacentral:rRNA from 1 species